rnacentral:lncRNA from 1 species
CCUCUUUUUACCUCUGCACAAGGAGCAGGGGCUGUGCAGUGAUGCUGUUUUUUGGUGGGAGCCUUAAUCCUGCUCAGGCUGUAAGCUGUGGUGGCACUUGUGGAGUCAGUCGGUGCUCUAAGCAAGGGUGGCCUCUUCAGAAACAUGCAGAGUGGCAAAGGACCAUGAGAGAUUUAUGAUGUCCAUUCCUGGAGAGCGGCAGAUUUUCAAAAGCAAAUGAUAGUGAUUGCAGACUUGAUCCAAUGAAGAUGUAGGAAUGAUUAUUCUCAUUAACGGGGCUGUCGAAACAAUGCUUUGCCCAUUUAUGUGCACUGCUGCUAAACAGUUCUUGAUCUCAGGACCCUUAAUGACGUACGCUGUCAUCCACAGCGUUGCUGGCUGUGCCUGCCCCUA